AGAGUUUGAUCCUGGCUCAGAGUUAACGCUGGCAGCGUGCAUAACACAUGCAAGUCGAGCGGGACUGUUUGAGAUUACAUCAAGGGCAGUUUAGCGGCAGACGAGUGAGUAACACGUAAGAAAUCUGCCCCGAAGAAGGGAACAACUUGCCGAAAGGUGAGCUAAUACCCUAUAUAAUCCCGAAGUGGCAUCACUUUGGG
rnacentral:rRNA from 1 species